GCGGACAGAUGGGAACUUGCUCCCUGAUGUUUUCGGCGGAGAGGUGAGUAUCACGUGGGUAACCUGCCUGUAAGACUGGGAUAACUCCUCGGAAACCGGGGCUAAUACCGGAUGGUUGUUUGAACCGCACGGUUCACACAUAAGAAGUGGCUUCGGCUACCCCUUACUGAUGGACCCCCGGCCCAAUAACUAGUUUGUGAGGUAACGGCUCACCCAGGGCACCAUUCCUAACCCACCUGAAAGGGUGAUCGGCCCCCCUGGGACUGAAAACCGGGCCAAAACCCCACCGGAGGGCACAAUUGGGAAUCUUCCCCAAUGGACCAAAGUCUGACGGAACAACCCCCCGGGAGUGAUUAAAGUUUUCCGAUCCUAAAACUCUUUUGUUAAGGAAAAACAAAUGGCGUUCAUAUAUGGCCGCACCUUGACGGUACCUAACCAGAAAGCCACGGCUAACUACGUGCCAGCAGCCGCGGUAAUACGUAGGUGGCAAGCGUUGUCCGGAAUUAUUGGGCGUAAAGGGCUCGCAGGCGGUUUCUUAAGUCUGAUGUGAAAGCCCCCGGCUCAACCGUGGAGGGUCAUUGGAAACUGGAGAACUUGAGUGCAGAAGAGGAGAGUGGAAUUCCACGUGUAGCGGUGAAAUGCGUAGAGAUGUGGAGGAACACCAUUGGCGAAGGCGACUUUCUGGUCUGUAACUGACGCUUAUGAGCGAAAGCGUGGGGAUCAAACAGGAUUAAUACCCUUGGUAUUCCACGCCCUAACGAUAAGUGCUAAAUGUUGGGGGUUUCCGCCCCUUAUUGCUGCAGCUAAUGCAUUAAGCCU
rnacentral:rRNA from 1 species